rnacentral:rRNA from 1 species
GACGAACGCUGGCGGCGUGCUUAACACAUGCAAGUCGAACGGAAAGGCCCUGCUUUUGUGUGGUUCUCGAGUGGCGAACGGGUGAGUAACACGUGAGUAACCUUCGCUUGACUGUGUGAUAACUUCAGGAAACUGGUGCUAAUACCGGAUAGGAGCUCCUGCUGCAUGGUGGGGGUUGGAAAGUUUCGGCGGUUGGGGAUGGACUCGCGGCUUAUCAGCUUGUGGGUGGGGUAGUGGCUUACCAAGGCUUUGACGGGUAGCCGGCAUGAGAGGGUGACCGGCGACAUUGGGACUGAGAUAGGGACCAGACGCCUACGGGAGGCAGCAGUGGGGAAUAUUGCACAAUGGGCGGAAGCCUGAUGCAGAAACGCUGCGUGCGGGAUGAAGGCCUUCGGGUUGUAAACCGCUUUAGCCUGUGACGAAGCGUGAGUGACGGUAAUGGGUAAAGAAGCACCGGCUAACUACGUG